CAAGCGGAGACCUCUGUUGUAUGUCAUCAAUUUAAUUUUUCCAGUAUUUUGUUUCCUUGUGCUGGAUGUGGCAUCCUUCUUCAUAAAUGUAUCUGCAGGAGAAAAGCUGGGUUUUAAAGUGACUUUACUGCUGUCCCUUUCCGUGUUACUGCAGAUUCUUAAUGACAGACUGGCAUCUACCUCCAGUAAAAUCCCAUUAAUUGGGAUUUACUGCUGUUCAAUUUUUAUAUUAAUUGGCUUAAGCAUUCUGGAGACCAUCUUGGUAAAAAUUCUGAUUGCUAAAGGAGAGGAGAACGAAUCAGCAAUACCAAUGGAAACCAGAGGUGUUGUAAGUGGUCAAGAUGAUGGUGUAAUAGACUUACAUAACCCUAUAGACACAGUUACCAGUGGAAAUGAAGAGUCAACCGGUACAUCUGACACUGGAAAGAGGGCCUCACUGUGCUGGACCAAAGCGGCAAAAAUUAUAGAUGUGACCUUUAUUGUUCUUUACAUUAUCACUGUUAUUGUGCUUCUGUCUGUUCUGGGCAAACGUUGGUUUCUGUAGUAAAAUUAUCUUACAUAUGAGAUGGCGUACAAUACUAACUUUUAUUUUUAUGAUUAAAUUCGUUAGUUUUUAUGUAUGUUUGGUAAGUUUAAAACAUUGUUUAUUACAAAGUUGAUUUGCUUUGUCAUUUAUUGCUUUACUAUAUAGUAUGUGUAUCCAGUGAUAAAGUGUUGUUGUUGUUGAUGUUUAUUAAAUCAAAUUCAUACUUUUGUGUUGGUUGUGGGUAAAAUAAGCAAUUAUUUAAUGUUAUGUUACCAAAAUCACCUUUAAAAUUAUCUGUGUAAUCUCAUGUAUUUUGAAUACUAUAAUUUUCAUAAUU